rnacentral:rRNA from 1 species
GAUGAACGCUAGCGGCAGGCCUAAUACAUGCAAGACGAACGGUAACUUUGAUAGCAAUAUUGAAGCAAGAGUGUCGUACGGGUGCGUAACACGUAUGCAACCUACCCUUUACAGGAGGAUAGCUCGGGGAAACCCGGAUUAACCCUCCAUAAUAUCAAUGACUGGCCUCAGUUGCUGAUUAAAACUCCGGGUGUUAUAGAUGGGGAUGCGUCUGAUUAGUUAGUUGGUGAGGUAACGGCUCACAAAGAGGAUGAGCAGUAGGGGAACUGAGGGGUUGAUCCACCACACUGGCACUGAGAUACGGGGCAGACUCAUACGGGAGGCAGCAGUAGGGAAUAUUGGUCAAUGGAUGAAAGUCUGAACCAGCCAUGCCGCGUGCAGGAAGAAGGCCUUCUGGGUUGUAAACUGCUUUUGUCAGGGGAUAAAAAGCUCGUGCGCGAGUAAUUGCAGGUACCUGAUGAAUAAGCCACGGCUAACUACGUGCCAGCAGCCGCCGUAACAC